GUGGACAGCAGGACCCCAACUGCUGUUGGGUUACAGAUCCCCCAAAGACAUAUUUAACCCACCACCUCAUCUCUGACCAUGAGGUCACCCUGAGGUGCUGGGCCCCGGGCUUCUACCCUGUAGAGAGCACCCUGAUCUGGCAGCAUGGCAGGGAGGACUAGACCCAGGGCAUAGAGUUGUGGAGACCAGGCCUGAAUGGAAAGGAACUUUCGGAAGUGGGUGGCUGUGGUGGCCCCUUCUGGAGAGGGGCAGAGAUAUGCAUGACACGUGCAGCAGGAAGGGAUGCCCAAGGCCUUGACCCUGAGAUGGGACCUGCUUCCACAGGCCAUCUUUACUCCUGUGGGCAUUGUUGUUGGCCUGGUUCUUCUUAGAGCUGUGGUGAUUAGAGCUGUGAUGUAGAGGACAAAGUUCUCAGGCAGAAAAGAAAGGGGCUAUGCUGAGACUGCAAGUAGUGACAGUGUCCAGGGCUCUGAUGUAUCUCCCAGGGCUUCUAAAGUAUGAGACAGCUGCCUUAUUGGGGAAUAAUCAAUGGAAU